AGUCGAGGGGCAUCAUGGCGGUCGCUUGCGACCGCUGAUGGCGACCGGCGCACGGGUGCGUAACGCGUAUCGAACCUGCCGCAUACCCGGGGAUAGCCUUGCGAAAGCAAGAUUAAUACCCGAUGUUCUCACUGUUCCGCAUGUUACGGUGAGCAAAGAAUUUCGGUAUGCGAUGGCGAUGCGUCCCAUUAGCUAGUUGGCGGGGUAACGGCCCACCAAGGCUCCGAUGGGUAGGGGUUCUGAGAGGAAGGCCCCCCACACUGGUACUGAGACACGGACCAGACUCCUACGGGAGGCAGCAGUGAGGAAUAUUGGUCAAUGGCCGGAAGGCUGAACCAGCCAAGUCGCGUGAGGGAAUAAGGCCCUACGGGUCGUAAACCUCUUUUGCCAGGGAGCAAUGCCGUCCACGUGUGGACGGAAGGAGAGUACCUGGAGAAAAAGCAUCGGCUAACUCCGUGCCAGCAGCCGCGGUAAUACGGAGGAUGCGAGCGUUAUCCGGAUUUAUUGGGUUUAAAGGGUGCGUAGGCGGCCUGCCAAGUCAGCGGUAAAAUUGCGGGGCUCAACCCCGUACAGCCGUUGAAACUGCCGGGCUCGAGUGGGCGAGAAGUAUGCGGAAUGCGUGGUGUAGCGGUGAAAUGCAUAGAUAUCACGCAGAACCCCGAUUGCGAAGGCAGCAUACCGGCGCCCGACUGACGCUGAGGCACGAAAGUGCGGGGAUCAAACAGGAUUAGAUACCCUGGUAGUCCGCACAGUAAACGAUGAAUGCUAGCUGUCC
rnacentral:rRNA from 1 species